GUAUUGAAUUCUAUACUUUCGCUUUGUUUUUCAGAUUAACUGAAGAUGAAGAAUUUAAAAGAGUGGUUUUCCUAUGAGCUAUUGUCUAAAUCAUUACUAUCUGCAAGGCCUUUCAGCUUCUUUUAUGAGGAAUCACUGGAUGGUGAACUUGGCAACCGAGGAGAAAUAUUGAGGUCUCUAUGGUGAUUUCGGAUUCUAACCCUUGCUAUGAAGACACAUAUGAGGCUUGCUGCAGUACUUUUAAUGUUGCUAUUGAGUCCAACUGAGUGUUAUGUUUGUUUCAUGGUCUUUUCUUUCUUCUGUCAUGAUCUUGUUCAUGUCUGAACAUUUGAAAGAUGGGAAAUAAGUGGACUAUGGUUGUGUUACUAUUUUGUUUAUAGACGAACUUACUACUCUUCUAGUUUAUCAAGUAAUUAAGUAGAUUGUCCUUACUAAUCGUGAUCGUGUUGCUGAUAGUUAUGAUGGCAUUUAUAUCAAGUUAUUGAUCUUAUACAGAUCCUUGCA